GGGGUUGUAGCUCAGUGGUAGAGCACAUGCCUCUCAUGCAUGCGUGAGGCACUGGAUUCGAUCCUCAGCACCG
rnacentral:tRNA from 1 species